rnacentral:rRNA from 1 species
UUGUCUCAAAGAUUAAGCCAUGCAUGUCUCAGUACAAACCGUAAAUAAGGUGAAACCGCGAAAGGCUCAUUAAAUCAGUUAUGGUUCCUUAGAUCGUACCACAUUUACUUGGAUAACUGUGGUAAUUCUAGAGCUAAUACAUGCAAACAGAGCUCUGACCGGAGACGGAAUGAGUGCUUUUAUUAGAUCAAAACCAAUUAUGUCGUCCUUGGCUCCAUAUAUUACUGUAUACUAUUCUAUGGUAUUAUAGUAUAUAUGUCCAGGUGUUGCGUCAUAUAUAAAAUUGGUGAAUCUGAAUAAUUUGCUGAUCGCAUGGUCUAGUACCGGCGACGCAUCUUUCAAAUGUCUGCCUUAUCAACUUUCGAUGGUAGGAUCUGCGCCUACCAUGGUUGUAACGGGUAACGGGGAAUCAGGGUUCGAUUCCGGAGAGGGAGCUNNNGAGACGGUNNCCACAUCCAAGGAAGGCAGCAGGCGCGCAAAUUACCCACUCCCGGCACGGGGAGGUAGUGACGAAAAAUAACGAUACGGGACUCAUCCGAGGCCCCGUAAUCGGAAUGAGUACACUUUAAAUCCUUUAACAAGGAGCAACUGGAGGGCAAGUCUGGUGCCAGCAGCCGCGGUAAUUCCAGCUCCAGUAGCGUAUAUUAAAGUUGUUGCGGUUAAAAAGCUCGUAGUUGAAUUUGUGUCUCGCGCUGUCGGUUCAUCGCCAGCGUGCGGUGUUAACUGGCACGCCGCGGGACGUCUUGCCGGAAGGGCCGGUAUGUAUUACGGUAUUUUUUUUUUAAAAGUGUCGUUCUUAACGUCCAUGUUACCAUUAUAAAUAUUAUAUGUUUUUAUAUAUAUAUAUAAAUUAUGGUGAGUGUAAGUAUAUUGGUGUUGUGUGUGUUGCAUGCGUGUGUGUUUGUUGCUAUGUAACAAAUUUUAUUUGUUUACAUACACAUUCCACCCAUGUCGCCACCACUUUUUGCUAUUCACUUCGCCAUAUAUAUAUUAUAUAACUAUAAAUUUAGGUCAUGGCUCCGUUAUGCUUCGGCCGUCGUUAUACAUACGUAGUCCGACUAAUUUAAUCCUGUCUAGGUGCUCUUCACUGAGUGUCGUGGCGGGCCGGCACGUUUACUUUGAACAAAUUAGAGUGCUUAAAGCAGGCUAUUGUUGCCUGAAUACAGUGUGCAUGGAAUAAUGGAACAGGACCUCGGUUCUAUUUUGUUGGUUUUCGGAAUUUCGAGGUAAUGAUUAAUAGGGACAGAUGGGGGCAUUCGUAUUGCAACGUUAGAGGUGAAAUUCUUGGACCGUCGCAAGACGAACUUAAGCGAAAGCAUUUGCCAAAGAUGUUUUCAUUAAUCAAGAACGAAAGUCAGAGGUUCGAAGGCGAUCAGAUACCGCCCUAGUUCUGACCAUAAACGAUGCCAGCUAGCGAUCGGCCGACGUUCCUCCGAUGACUCGGUCGGCAGCUUUCGGGAAACCAAAGCCUUUGGGUUCCGGGGGAAGUAUGGUUGCAAAGCUGAAACUUAAAGGAAUUGACGGAAGGGCACCACCAGGAGUGGAGCUUGCGGCUUAAUUUGACUCAACACGGGAAACCUCACCAGGCCCGGACACCGGAAGGAUUGACAGAUUGAGAGCUCUUUCUUGAUUCGGUGGGUGGUGGUGCAUGGCCGUUCUUAGUUGGUGGAGCGAUUUGUCUGGUUAAUUCCGAUAACGANCGAGACUCNAGCCUACUAACUAGACGUACAUACUCGAUUAAUCAUCGAGAGCCCGGUAUUCCGAGGGUCGUUCCUGCUUCUUCUGGCCAUUGUUUUGUAUGCGUCAUAUGCGUACUAUAUUGAAGUAACGGUAUAUGUAUUUUCUCCAUUCAUAUUUAUUUAAUUAAUCUUUUUAACCGGAGAUAUUAUUUAAUUUGGUGUAUGGUAGAAUUUUUACCUCUAUGCCGUCUUCAUAUAGUUUCGUAUGUGCUCGUGUCGGCGAUGAUACUAGAGUUGUUUGUGGGCGAUCUUUACUACCGGCGUACAUAUAAAUCUUCUUAGAGGGACAGGCGGCUUCUAGCCGCACGAGAUUGAGCAAUAACAGGUCUGUGAUGCCCUUAGAUGUUCUGGGCCGCACGCGCGCUACACUGAAGGAAUCAGCGUGUCCUCCCUGGCCGAGAGGUCCGGGUAAUCCGCUGAAACUCCUUCGUGCUAGGGAUUGGGGCUUGCAAUUAUUCCCCAUGAACGAGGAAUUCCCAGUAAGCGCGAGUCAUAAGCUCGCGUUGAUUACGUCCCUGCCCUUUGUACACACCGCCCGUCGCUACUACCGAUUGAAUGAUUUAGUGAGGUCUUCGGACCGGUACUCGGCCGACGUUUCGACGUCGCCGACGCUGCUGGGAAGAUGACCGAACUUGAUUAUUU